rnacentral:rRNA from 1 species
UACAGAGGUCUCAAGCGUUGUUCGGAUUCAUUGGGCGUAAAGGGUGUGUAGGUGGCGCGCUAAGUCGGGUGUGAAAUUUCGGAGCUUAACUCCGAAACUGCACUCGAUACUGCUUUGCUUGAGGACUGGAGAGGAGAUUGGAAUUCACGGUGUAGCAGUGAAAUGCGUAGAUAUCGUGAGGAAGACCAGUGGCGAAGGCGGAUCUCUGGACAGUUCCUGACGCUGAGGCGCGAAGGCCAGGGGGAGCAAACGGGG